rnacentral:rRNA from 1 species
AUUGAACGCUGGCGGCAGGCCUAACACAUGCAAGUCGAACGGUAACAGGAAGCAGCUUGCUGCUUUGCUGACGAGUGGCGGACGGGUGAGUAAUGUCUGGGAAACUGCCUGAUGGAGGGGGAUAACUACUGGAAACGGUAGCUAAUACCGCAUAACGUCGCAAGACCAAAGAGGGGGACCUUCGGGCCUCUUGCCAUCGGAUGUGCCCAGAUGGGAUUAGCUAGUAGGUGGGGUAACGGCUCACCUAGGCGACGAUCCCUAGCUGGUCUGAUAGGAUGACCAGCCACACUGGAACUGAGACACGGUCCAGACUCCUACGGGAGGCAGCAGUGGGGAAUAUUGCACAAUGGGCGCAAGCCUGAUGCAGCCAUGCCGCGUGUAUGAAGAAGGCCUUCGGGUUGUAAAGUACUUUCAGCGGGGAGGAAGGGAGUAAAGUUAAUACCUUUGCUCAUUGACGUUACCCGCAGAAGAAGCACCGGCUAACUCCGUG